rnacentral:rRNA from 1 species
UACGUAGGAGACAAACGUUAUCCGGAGUUACUGGGCGUAAAGGGCGUGUAGGCGGUCUCGUAAGUCUGGCGUGAAAUUUUUCGGCUUAACCGGGAAAGGUCGUCGGAUACUGCGGAGCUAGAGGACGGUAGAGGCGUGUGGAAUUCCGGGUGUAGUGGUGAAAUGCGUAGAGAUCCGGAGGAACACCAGUGGCGAAGGCGACACGCUGGGCCGUACCUGACACUGAUGCGCGACAGCAUGGGGAGCAAACAGG